AGUGUUUCUCGAGAGGGAAACAUGAAAAGUCAACUACACUGGUUGGCGAUGAUGAUGUUGCUCAUCUUUCUCGGAGAUAUUCAAAGUUCGUUGACAAAUUAAAGUUUAUUGGAGCGCACGAUGAAUGCAAAAUUCCUGUAUAUCGAGUUAUGAAUCGUAGUGGUGAGAUAACGAAUAAACAGAAUGGACAAUCGGUAUGUUGUUUGAAUCACAACAUUAUAAAUACAUUUCAAGAGUAAUUUUGCUUCUACGUUUCGUGCUUUUACGCGCUUCUACGUUUUCUGAAAUGAUUUAUGGGCGAAAUAGUCACUCAAUAUAUAUAUAUAUAUAUAUAUAUAUAUAUAUAUAUAUAUAUAUAUAUAUAUAUAUAUAUAUAUAUAUAUAUAUAUAUAUAUAUAUAUAUAUAUAUAUAUAUACUGAUCUAUCACAUUCUUUCUUGUUGGCACAUCGGCAAAAUCAUGCAGUCUUUUAGUAACCUGCGCUUCAAUUUCAAGACAUGGCCGGAAAUUACAGACAUUUGCAUAUCAUGUUGAAAUAUGGCUUCUGCAGUAAACAGUAGAUUAUAUUACGUGAUGCUGUAAAUCCCAAAAUCAGAGAAUAUGGUAGGCAUGCAGUAAGUAAACUUACACCAGGCAAACAUUGCACGAUAUAUGUCAAUAAACCGUGUUCUGCAACCAGCAAUCGAGGCAAAUUGCAAACGACCUACCAAUAUUCUCUAUUUUGCGAUUUAAAGCAUCGUCUAAUAUAAUUUACUGUUUACUUCCGAAGCCAUAUUUCAAAUUAAUGCUAUGCAAAGGUAGUAAUUAAGGAAUAGAAUAAUCAUUUCCUUGAUUUCUGGCCAUGACUCCACCAUUUUUUCUCACCUGUUCAUAAAAAAGCGCCAGUUGGCGCAUUGUAAUCAAAGUCCUUCGUUAUGCAUGAUCCACGGAUAUACAUAUUUUGUGCUGAAGUAUAAUUUAUAAAGAAAACAUUUGCAUGUGGACGGAUGGUGAUUCACCCCGUCACCCCGCCCGAACUGAUUUUCAGGUCGGACGGAUGGUGGAAAUUAAUACAAUAGGUAAUCCAAAUUUGACAUGCAUGUUAUCAUUAUCAGUAUAUAGUGAUCAAAAUUGCACCUCCCAAUUUUUGAAAUGCAAUAUUCAAAGUAGAGUGAUGGGGGCAUGAUCCUUUUUAUUGCAGUUAGGUCGAGACGUCAUUGAAAAGAUUUAUCGGAAAAUGACAUUAUUAAAUACAAUGGACAAUGUUUUAAAUGAACUUCAGAGUCAGG